rnacentral:lncRNA from 1 species
AAAGAGGAAAAAAAAAAAAGGAAAAAAAGAGAGAGAGAUAUAGAGAGCAAAUGAAAAUGAAAAAAAUAAUAAAUAAACGAGUAAAGAUUUUUUCAUCUUAAUUGCACGUUUAUCCAAGUUCUUCCUCUCGUGAUAUAGCGUUUACACUUUUAACGAUUUAUCUAAAAAGUUUCUAAAAAUAAGAGGAGAGAUUAUUAUAUAAUGGUAAAUUGAGAAAAAUAGAAAAAAAAAAAAAAAAAAUGAAAAAGAGAAGAAAAAAAAGAGCAGAAUAACAAAAAAAAAAAAAAAUUAAGAAAUCCUCUAGCUGAAAAAAAAACGAAAAGUAUCGCGUCAAGUAUCGUGCGCCUGUUUAAGGGUUAAAGAUUACCCACAGAUUGAACGAGAACAGAAAUGCAUAUACAAAUAAAUGAAAUGACAACAAGAGUUGUACCGGGAGCGUGCACACGCUGUUUGUUCUCUGCAUCGUUCGCACUCGCAUAUACAUACACACGCGCGCACAUACACAUACACAAUCGUAUAAUACACACACAGAGACACACGUACACACAGAGAAAUAACAGAAAGAGAAGGGAGAAUAGAUCGCACAGCGUGUGGGAGUGCUGCACAUGUGAACGAUACAUACGCACAGCGAGAUCCCCCCCCGCCCCCCCCCUCCCUCUAGAUAAUACAUACCGCAUAAUUUGUUAUCACUUAUUAGCGUUACGACCAAAAUAUCCGUGUACAGUAGAUCGAUACUUAGAUGGACGCGCGCGCGUAUGUAUGUGUGUGUGUGUGUGUGCGCGCGCGCGCGCGCGCGUAUGCCGGGACACGCGCGCGUGUCACGCGGUAAUUUCGAAGCAGCUAGGUAGGUCGUAGCGAGCGUGCUAAACGAGGGGCAACCUCGAGAUAUCUUUAUAUAUGUACGCGAUAUAUCCAUGUUCGUUAUAUCGGACGAGGAUCGAGGGAGUUUGCCUUAAAAGCUGGCAAAGAUAAUAGAUAGAGAUAUAUAUAUAUAGAUUCCUUCGAGAUGCGAUGAGAUGAUCGAGUUGUAUGAUCCGCUUAUUAUUCUUUUUUCUCUCGACACCGUAUAACACGCUCCACGUCGAACAUGGUGCGAUCAACGAAAUAACAAUCUCGCUCCCCAACGAGAACUCGAGGAACCGGAACGAAUCGCAGCGCGGAGGAGGACGUUUAGCGCGACAGCAAGUCGAAUUCUGCGAAGAGGGAAAAGGAGCGGAGAGAGAGAGAGAGCGAAGAUUUGAAUUAAUCUAAACAACGAAGAAGACGCGUCGUUUCGAAGGGAAAAGAGAGGGGGAGAGGGUGCGAGAGAACUGGGAAGGAAGGAAGGUGUUUAAUGUGUAGAUAGAAUUUUGUUCGUCGUUUUAUCUGUCGACUCACCGUAGAUCGAUUCCGUUUCUUGCAGCCCCGCGCACGCUUAACGCGCCGGGGUUGUCACUGUAAGGUUAAACUCCAAAUGAAAGAAAUCACGAACGCGGUAGGGAGAGCAAGAAGAAUACAAAGAAAUAAUCGAAGAUUGUACAUUAUUGUAUUUACACGAAGCGAAGUACCUCUACUUUGUAUUGUACGAGCGAAAGAACGAACGAACGAAUAAUCCGUUGUGCCACCACGGGAUUCCCCCGUUGUUGCAUUCCGUUUUUUGUAUCGUGAUCUGCGUGUAUCCACGUUAUUUUUAAUUAUUAUUCGUUUUAGAUUUCGAUUUUUCCCUUGUUUUUUUUUAAAUUGGUAUAAACCAUACAGAAAAAUUAAGAAUAAAAUUUAUAAUCGAAUUGAAAAUAAAUGAAAAAAACGUGACGUGGUUACCGCAGAUUGGAUCCAACACUGCAGAUGAGCGAUGUUUUAAGCUGUCAGCCAGCCUUAACAGUAUUCGCAUCUUUACACUUACCUCUUUAGCUUUAAGAGAAUGCAUAGAGACAGAGAGCCAGAGAUGCUGUCAGCGCUGACGUUGAUCCCCCAUCCCCCCUCUUUGUAGUAUCAAAAUUAGUUCGUAGUAAAGAGAAAACGUAUGGAACGAGAGAGCGAACGAGCGAGCGAGCGAGAGAGAGAGAGAGAUAGAGAGAGAGAGAGAGAGAAUGAGCAUAUAUACGGAGUACGAAAAGAAGAUUUCGUCGUGCAGAUUUUUUUAUGUAGAUUCAGUGAAGCAAGAAUGUACCGUGUGUACCGUAUUUAGUACAUUGUCGAUAAGCAUGAUGAUUUCGAUACACAUAACUACGUAUUAUAUAUAUAUAUGUAAACUUUUUUCUGAAUUUAACAAAUUAAUCAUAUAUAUAUAUAUAUAUCGAUAUUGUAUAAAUAUUGUAAAAGAUAUCGCCCUCGAGUCGCGCGCGCUGCGUUAAGAAUCGAGCACAAAGAAGAAAGGAAAUAUAUUACGCGUAGCUCCUUUCGAUUUCGCUUGUUCGUUUGCUUUUAUUAUUGAAAUAGCGAUGCAGGAAGCGUGAAAGAGAUGGCUUGCAAAAUUCUUGGACGCUUCGCCGGACGAACGUACUAAGAGAAAUUAAAAGAGAGAAUGAGAAUGGAAAUUGAUGAACGGGAGAAUAGAGCGAAUGAAUGAAUGAGAGGGAGAGAGAGAGAGAGAGAGAGAGAGAGAACUAGAGAGACAAAUGCAUGUUGGUAAUAAUUAUGAUUGUUACUCGAGAUCGUUAGGCCUAUCGUAAUUAUUUACUUUAACAGAGAAGAGGUAUACAAACAAUUAUAAAUAGGUAUAAUAUAUAUAUAUAUAUAUAUAUAAGAUUAUAUAUAUAUAUAUGUAUAUGAUACAAACAUAUACAUGCAUACAUGUAUGGAACGAGCGCGGUGAGCCCCCUUCUUAUGUAGAUCUUUAAAAAGGAAAAAAAAAGAAAAGAAGAAAAAAUAAUUAAAAGAAAAAAAAAAAAAAAGGGAAGAUGAGAGGGAUUUAGAGUCGGAUGGGAAAGGGAGACUACCUUUAUUCGCGAGCGAACAACGUUGUUAUAUUAUCAUAAAUAUUAUAUAUUAUAUAUUAUACAAUACGAAAUCGAGCAAUAUUGUAUUGUUACUUCGUCGUUAAUAUUUAUCACCGCCUAUUCGAAGAAUUAUAUUAUAUACCUAUUUUACAAAAUAAUCCCUCGUAUCUGAACGAGUAACUCAUAUCGAACCUGGCUACAGGUCUAUGUGGUACGCGUACUUUUAAAUACCUAUUCACAGGAUUGUAUAGAAUACGCAGAUUUAAGUAGAUAGACGCGUAGAUAGGUCAAAAUAGACGAAGUAGUCGCGGAGAAGGGAAAUGGUUCACGGUGUGAAUGGGAGAUUGAGUGAGAACGACGAGAAGAAAUUAUAAGCCGAAUAAUUUGAUGAACAGCGGUUUUUACGUAAGUGGAAAACUGCGAGAACAGCGACCAUUGAAAAAUGAAAAAAAUAAAAAAAGUAAAAAAAAAAAAAAAACAAUGAAAGGGGAGAGGCGAAAACUCGCGAUAGAUCGCUCGCGACCGAUUUUACCGUUGAAACGUUGUUUCUUUUGUUCGAUUAGUGUAUUCCAAAGUCUAUGUAAGUAAGGUUGCGUGCAAUUUCUCUCGAGUUACCUUUAAUUAAAAAAAAAAAAAAAAAAAAAAAAAAAAAGGAAAGAUUUCGUUCGAGACGACUCAAAACUUCGUUCGAAGUUUAUGUCAUUCGACUGUCCCCUGACAAUGUUAUGUUUUGCGGUAUAGCGCGUGUUGUAAAUCGAGACGAUGAGAAACUGCGUGUACCGAUGUCUAACGUUUGCAAUAACAGAGUACGAAAUCGCGAUGAUUUAACACAAAUUGGGACCACCGUGCAAAAGUGCAAGGUGCCGAGACGAGAACGACUACGGCGUGACGAGUUCUAUCGUAUCGUCGAUCUUUUUUUUUUUUCUUCUUUUCUUUCUUUUCUCUCUCUCUUCAUUGACUUCAACGACGAACGUCCAAUAUCUCGCACGCCGGCCGUUUUCCGAUUCUUCGAAGCGAAAAAAAAACAGUGAGAGACGAGCAAUCGCGAAAUAUUCAAUAGAGUAAAACACGAAGCCUGAUUAAGAAGUAGAACAAGUGAAAAAAAAAAAAAAAAAAAGAAGAAAAGAAA